rnacentral:lncRNA from 10 species
UAGAUAUGUGGCUUUAUUUCUGGGUUCUCUAUUCUGUUCCGUUGGUCUGUGUGUCCAUUUUUGUACCAAUACCACGCUGUUUUAGUUACUAUAGCCUUAUACUAUAAUUUGAAGUCAGGUAAUGUGAUGCCUCCAGAUUUUUUCUUAUUGUUUAGUAUUGCUUUAGCUAUUUAGGCUCUUUUUUGAUUACAUAUGAAAUUUUUGAUUGCUUUUUAUAAUUCUGUGAAAAAUGGCAUUGACCAUUUGAUAGGAAUUGCAUUUAAUCUGUAGAUUGCUUUGGAGAGUAUGGUCAUUUUAACACUAUUGAUUCUUCCCAUCCAUGAGCAUGAGAUGUUUUCUCAUAUAAUUUCUUUCUUUCCUUUUUUUUUUUUUUUUGAGACAGAGUCACUCUCUGUCACCCAGGCUGGAGUGCAGUGGCACGAUCUCGGCUCACUGCAAGCUCUGCCUCCCAAGUUCAUGCCAUUCUCCUGCCUUAGCCUCCCGAGUAGCUGGGACUACAGGCA